ensembl:lncRNA
AACAGUCCUUUGUGUCGGGUGAGGACCACUGUCAGCUCACAUCAGGUAAGACCCUUCUGCUCAAUGAUCAUCAGUGUCUCUAAAUCAAACAUGUAAUGAUGUGUGAUUGUGUGUAGUUACAGUUGAUCAAUUUAGGCUUUGACCUUUCAGUAAGUCCUUAAACAUUUUAUGGAUGCAUAAAUCUUUAUGAAUUACUCCAGAUCACCUGUAGAUCUGCACUAGUUUUCAGGUGUGAUGUUUUUGGGAAACAGUUUGUGAUUCUAAGAUGAUGAUAAUUUCUGGGAAAACACUGGAAAAUGGAAAUAAGAGGAAAUAAACCUUUGUUAUUCAUGAGUCAGGGCCAAAGCUAAUUUGAUUUUCCUCUAAUUGUUAGGGAAAUUUGUCCUCUGAACUGGUUUGUGUAUAACUGAAAUACACCAGUGUCUCAAAACUUGCAAUGGCUACAUUUCAGAAAGGUAGGUUUUUUUUUGUUGUUUGUUUGUUUUUUGUCUUUAAAGGUAGGUUCUCAUUGACCUAAAAAACUUUAUUACACCACAAACUAUGCUCAUAUGAUGAAUGUAGUGCUCACAAACUCAAUCAAAACAUUUUCAGUUGUUUUUAAUUCAUUUUUCUUAAUGUUUCAGCUUUUAUAAAAACACCGACUUUCAUCUCUGUUAUUCUGUGUAAGUAACUUUGCUUUUGUUUCGGUACACUGACAAAACCUGUUUGAAACGACAUGAUAAAAGAGUACAUUACAAUUGUCAUUUUUGGGUAAACUGUAACUUUAAGUACAAGCGUGCAUUUGUGUGUUUAUUUUACCAGAGGACUACUUUCAUUGUGGCCUUUGAAUGUUGUUGAUUAAUUUGUGGUCAUAAAUAUUUUUCAGAUGUCUUAACACUUAACUUGUCAUUCAAAACUGUCACAUGGGCGACGACUACAGCAGGUAAUGUACUCUGUUGCUGACUGGGGUUUGGUCUGGAUAUGCAUGUCUGUAGCUUUUAAUUGAACGGAAUAGGAUUGAUCACAAAUCCUGCUGAUUCACAUGCUGCGCUAAUUAUCACUGUUCACGGGAGCGCAGCGUUGUCAGGUUUGUCCGUAACUCUCAUUGACAGCACACCUGCUGUCAAAGGCUGUUCUUUUAACUUUGUAUUCUAAUAAUCCUGAAAAAAGUUUAAGCAUCACAGUUUCCACAAAAAUAUUAGGACGCAAAAACAGUUUUCAGUAUUAAUAAUAGUAAGAACUAUUAUUAAUAAUUGAUCACAAAUAAUACUGAUCAUAAUUAAGCAGUAAAUAAGCAUAUUAGAAUGAUUUUGGAAGGAAUGCAGCACUGGACUGGAGAAAUAAUGCUGACAAUUCAGCUUUGAUAUAAGAAAUAAAUACAAUUUUAACAUAUCUUUAAUAUAAAAC